GAGUUUGAUCCUGGCUCAGGACGAACGCUGGCGGCGCGCCUAACACAUGCAAGUCGAACGGAGCUUAGAGAGCUUGCUUUUUAAGCUUAGUGGCGAACGGGUGAGUAACGCGUGAGUAACCUGCCCUGGAGUGGGGGACAACAGUUGGAAACGACUGCUAAUACCGCAUAAGCCCACGAUCCGGCAUCGGAUUGAGGGAAAAGGAUUUAUUCGCUUCAGGAUGGACUCGCGUCCAAUUAGCUAGUUGGUGAGGUAACGGCCCACCAAGGCGACGAUUGGUAGCCGGACUGAGAGGUUGAACGGCCACAUUGGGACUGAGACACGGCCCAGACUCCUACGGGAGGCAGCAGUGGGGAAUAUUGCACAAUGGGGGAAACCCUGAUGCAGCAACGCCGCGUGAGUGAUGACGGCCUUCGGGUUGUAAAGCUCUGUCUUCAGGGACGAUAAUGACGGUACCUGAGGAGGAAGCCACGGCUAACUACGUGCCAGCCGCCGCGGUAAUUC
rnacentral:rRNA from 1 species